CAGUCGAACGGAUAUCUUCGGAUAUGAGUGGCGAACGGGUGAGUAACACGUAGGGAACCUGCCUGCAUGAGCGGGAGAACUUCUGGAAACGGAAGCUGAUACCGGAUGAGCAAAGGGGAGGCAUCUUCUUUUUGGAAAAGGGGACAAGAGUCCCGCAUGCAGAUGGACCUGCGGUGCAUUAGCUGGUUGGAGAGGUAACGGCUCACCAAGGCGACGAUGCAUAGCCGGCCUGAGAGGGCGGACGGCCACACUGGGACUGAGACACGGCCCAGACUCCUGCGGGAGGCAGCAGUAGGGAAUUUUCGUCAAUGGGGGGAACCCUGAACGAGCAAUGCCGCGUGAGCGAGGAAGGUCUUCGGAUCGUAAAGCUCUGUUGCCGGGGACAAAAGGCAGAAAGAGUGGAAAGCUUUCUGAGUGAUGGUACCCGGCGAGGAAGUCACGGCUAACUACGUGCCAGCAGCCGCGGUAAUACGUAGGUGGCGAGCGUUAUCCGGAAUGAUUGGGCGUAAAGGGUGCGCAGGCGGCCGGGCAAGUCCGCAGUAAAAACUGGAGGCUCAACCUUCAGGGGCUGCGGAAACUGUCCGGCUGGAGAGCAGGAGAGGACGGUGGAACUCCAUGUGUAGCGGUAAAAUGCGUAGAUAUAUGGAAGAACACCGGUGGCGAAGGCGGCCGUCUGGCCUGCAUCUGACGCUGAGGCACGAAAGCGUGGGGAGCAAAUAGGAUUAGAUACCCUAGUAGUCCACGCUGUAAAC
rnacentral:rRNA from 1 species